GUGUGAACAACAUCCUAGUGUUGACAAGUUGUUGGAACAGCAUUGCUACAAGUCUGUUGCAGGUUUGUUACAACUUGUGCGUUUUUACGUGUGUACGUAAACGUAACGUACGUUUAACGUAAAAACGCACAAGUUGUAACAAGUCUGCAAACAAGUUGUUACACGUCUGUUCACAAGCUGUCAACAAGUUGUGUUCGCACUGCUUGUUCCCAGUUUGUUGUAACAAGUUUGAAACAAGCUGUUAACAACUUGUAACAAGCUUGAUGGCAUUAUCAGCCUUGUUACAAGAUUGUGCUAACAAGUUUGUUACAGCCAUGAUAUAACAAGGAUGUUACAAGGUUGUCAACACAAGGUUGUAACAAUCCUGUUAUAUCAAGCAUGUCACAGACUUGUCAGAACAACCUUGCAACAAGUCUGAUAAUUUCGACAAGGUUG
rnacentral:lncRNA from 1 species